AUUGAACGCUGGCGGCAGGCCUAACACAUGCAAGUCGAACGGUAACAGGAAGAAGCUUGCUUCUUUGCUGACGAGUGGCGGACGGGUGAGUAAUGUCUGGGAAACUGCCUGAUGGGGGGGGAUAACUACUGGAAACGGUAGCUAAUACCGCAUAACGUCGCAAGACCAAAAAGGGGGACCUUCGGGCCUCUUGCCAUCGGAUGUGCCCAGAUGGGAUUAGCUAGUAGGUGGGGUAACGGCUCACCUAGGCGACGAUCCCUAGCUGGUCUGAGAGGAUGACCAGCCACACUGGAACUGAGACACGGUCCAGACUCCUACGGGAGGCAGCAGUGGGGAAUAUUGCACAAUGGGCGCAAGCCUGAUGCAGCCAUGCCGCGUGUAUGAAGAAGGCCUUCGGGUUGUAAAGUACUUUCAGCGGGGAGGAAGGGAGUAAAGUUAAUACCUUUGCUCAUUGACGUUACCCGCAGAAGAAGCACCGGCUAACUCCGUG
rnacentral:rRNA from 1 species